CCGCGCUAGGCGGGGGGUUCGGGGUCCCCUCUUCCGGAAACCCUCGAUACGCCGGGCUGAUGCCUUGUCUGCGGCUCGUGGAUGACCGGGCAGCCCCCGGAAAGCAGCGUUGAUGGUCGGGUCCCGCGCGACCCGGAGCCGUGAACCCGGUCAGGGCCGGAAGGCAGCAGCCGUAAGCGGUGUACCGAGUGCGCCGCGGGAGUGCCCGGCCGGAGCCGGCUACCGGGAAAGCGUCGGCCGUUCACGGGUCCAGGACGAGGCGCGCGG
rnacentral:SRP_RNA from 1 species